UUCUUCCUAAUGUUUGUCGUUCAUGUUCUAGAUUAUCUAGGAGUUCAUGCAUUUGUAGUUUUGUGUUUUUGAUGUCAUUCUGGGACGGGACGCGUUCGUAUUUAGAUAUCGUGUCUUCCAUGAUUUAGUGUGGUUUAUGUAUGUGUUGUCGUCGGUCAUGAUGCACCAUAAUUUUAUAAUUCUCCGAAAAUAAAAAGCUGGUUUGUGGAUAUUUCUUCCUAAUGUUUGUCUUUCAUGUUCUGAAUUAUUUGGGAGUUCAUGCGUUUGUGGUUAUAUUUUGUUGUCCUUCAAUGCAGCCAUUAUCUGAGUUGGGCGUGUUAUUGCGAUUGGUGUCUUCAAUUAUGACGAGUACCUGGGAGGUUUUGUUGUCAUUAAACUCCGGGUCUCCUUAUAUGUAAGACUACCUUUGUUGGCGGUCUUUUAAAGCUUGGCGUCAGCAGUUUUGUGGGAUACCUUGCAGCCAUUAUCUGAGUUGGUCGUGUUAUUAUGGUUGGUGUCUUGAAUUAUGUCGAGUACCUGGGAGGUGUUGCCUUUGUUGGCGGUCUUUUAAAGCUUGGCGUCUACCGUUCUGUGGGAUACCUGGCAAGUGCAAAGGCCUAACAUAAAACCACUAUCUAUGGAUCUCUCUAUUCAGAACUCUUCCUUUUUUCUUAAGUGGCGUCAGUCUACAGAAACUGUCGUCCAAUGCUGAGUUGAUAGUUCAUGAAUUUUGAGGGAAGCUUUUGGAAGAGCUUGAUUAUACAUUGCUUUUGAUCACUGAUUGGAAGCUUGCGGGUGUGGGAUUGGAAUAAAUUUGUUGACAUGAAAACUUACUCCCCUAAGGUCAGUCCUAGGGGGUCCUGCCUCAAAGUGAUGUUGGUACAUUCAAUGUUGAGGAUAGAAGUGAAACCAUGGAGAUCGUUACUUCUCCAAGUAAAGAAGUUGAGAAUGAUAUGGGGAUGAUGAACAAGAAGAGCGAGAUUGAUGGGGAUAGAGAGAGGAUGUCAAUUGGGAGGAGAACAGUAGUGAUGGAUUGAACAUAUCGAAGUGGAGCUUAAAUGGGAUUGGACCUAUCUGUUCCUUUGAUGUUGCUGCAGUAUCAACUUCCCAAUUUAAGUGCUUUCUUAGCCAACUUCUAUACAUGAAUAUUAGUAAUUUAUUUCAUGAAAAUUUUGAUUAGUAUCCUUAUUAAGGGAACUGUAAUGAAAAGUUGUGGAGGUGAAUUUUGGAUGGAAAUUGAACUAGCUGUGAUUUUUGGAAGCAUACAAACUAUUGU